AUACUUGCCUCGUUACUUGCC
rnacentral:siRNA from 1 species